UACGUAGGGUCCGAGCGUUGUCCGGAAUUAUUGGGCGUAAAGGGCUCGUAGGCGGUUAGUCACGUCGGGAGUGAAAACUCAGGGCUCAACCCUGAGCGUGCUUCCGAUACGGGCUGACUAGAGGUAUGCAGGGGAGAACGGAAUUCCUGGUGUAGCGGUGGAAUGCGCAGAUAUCAGGAGGGACACCGGUGGCGAAGGCGGUUCUCUGGGCAUUACCUGACGCUGAGGAGCGAAAGCAUGGGGAGCGAACAGG
rnacentral:rRNA from 1 species